AGACCACAUGCCUACUGUGUGAGUGCUUCAUCUUGCAAAUGGACCUUGUGUGCUUCCCAGUGGAGCUGACUGAACUCAUUCCUAUAGAACGGAUAUGUGCUGUUACUGACAAUUCUGACCCAAACUGCAUUGUUAUAAGCAAAGCCAUUAGCUAUAUGUACAACCUUGGGAAAGUUACUGAGUCCCUCUAGGUCUCAGAAGGGACUUCUUCACUGCCUUUAACUCAAAUGACUAAAAUUGAGGCAGAGUUGAUAGAUGCUGAAUAAAAUGUACUCAAUCUGCUGGCAUGCCUUGCAGAGGAUGGAUAAGAUCCAGAACAGGAAGGAAUGCUGUUUCAGGGUGCCCCAAAUAGUUUAGAAUCUUCUGUAACAUGGGACCUCACAGGGCAUAUGUAAGCAUUCAAGGCUCCGUCAGCAUUUCUGGAAACUAUCAUUCAUAAAGGUAAAUUAUAAAGUGUCUUUAGUUCCAUAAAGGAUUCUGUGGGAUAAUCCAUGUGUAGCACUCCACUGCAUACAGAAUGCAUACGUACUAAUCAAUAGCUAUGUAAAUUUUAAGACUUUUCCAGGCUCAACAA
rnacentral:lncRNA from 1 species